UACGUAGGGUGCAAGCGUUGUCCGGAAUUAUUGGGCGUAAAGAGCUCGUAGGCGGUUUGUCGCGUCUGCUGUGAAAACUCGGGGCUUAACUCCGGGCCUGCAGUGGGUACGGGCAGACUAGAGUGCGGUAGGGGAGACUGGAAUUCCUGGUGUAGCGGUGAAAUGCGCAGAUAUCAGGAGGAACACCGAUGGCGAAGGCAGCUCGCUGGGACGGUACUGACGCUGAGACGCGAAAGCGUGGGGAGCAAACAGG
rnacentral:rRNA from 1 species